rnacentral:rRNA from 1 species
AACGAACGCUGGCGGCAUGCCUAACACAUGCAAGUCGAACGAGACCUUCGGGUCUAGUGGCGCACGGGUGCGUAACGCGUGGGAACCUGCCCUUAGGUUCGGAAUAACUCCCCGAAAGGGGUGCUAAUACCGGAUAAUGUCUUCGGACCAAAGAUUUAUCGCCUUUGGAUGGGCCCGCGUUGGAUUAGCUAGUUGGUAGGGUAAAAGCCUACCAAGGCGACGAUCCAUAGCUGGUCUGAGAGGAUGAUCAGCCACACUGGGACUGAGACACGGCCCAGACUCCUACGGGAGGCAGCAGUGGGGAAUAUAGGACAAUGGGCGAAAGCCUGAUGCAGCAAUGCCGCGUGAGUGAUGAAGGCCUUAGGGUUGUAAAGCUCUUUUACCCGGGAUGAUAAUGACAGUACCGGGAGAAUAAGCUCCGGCUAACUCCGUG